UACGGGGGGAGCAAGCGUUGUUCGGAUUUACUGGGCGUAAAGGGUGUGUAGGCGGUUCUUUAAGUUUGGGGUGAAAUCUCCCGGCUCAACUGGGAGGGUGCGCCGAAUACUGAGGGACUAGAGUACGGGAGAGGAAAGUGGAAUUCCUGGUGUAGCGGUGAAAUGCGUAGAUAUCAGGAGGAACACCGGUGGUGUAGACGGCUUUCUGGACCGACACUGACGCUGAGACACGAAAGCGUGGGUAGCAAACAGG
rnacentral:rRNA from 1 species